rnacentral:rRNA from 1 species
AAUAUUUGACAAUGGGCGAAAGCCUGCUCCAGCCAUGCCGCGUGUGUGAAGUAGGNCUNNGGUUUNUNAAGCACUUUAUGUUGNNNNNAAGGGCAGUAAAUUAAUACCUUGCUGUUUUGACGUUCCCGACAGAAUAAGCACCGGCUAACUUCGUGCCAUCCUCCGCGGUAAUACGAAGGGUGCAAGCGUUAAUCGGAAUUACUGGGCGUAAAGCGGGCGUAGGUGGUUCGUUAAGUUGGAUGUGAAAGCCCCGGGCUCAACCUGGGAACUGCAUCCAAAACUGGCGAGCUAGAGUACGGUAGAGGGUGGUGGAAUUUCCUGUGUAGCGGUGAAAUGCGUAGAUAUAGGAAGGAACACAAGUGGCGAAGGCGACAACCUGGACUGAUACUGACACUGAGGUGCGAAAGCGUGGGGAGCAAACAGG